UACGUAGGGUGCGAGCGUUGUCCGGAAUUAUUGGGCGUAAAGGGCUCGUAGGCGGUUUGUCGCGUCGGGAGUGAAAACGCCGGGCUUAACUCGGUGCUUGCUUUCGAUACGGGCAGACUAGAGGCAUGCAGGGGAGAACGGAAUUCCUGGUGUAGCGGUGAAAUGCGUAGAUAUCUGGAGGAACACCGGUGGCGAAGGCGGCAUCCUGGACCGGCAUUGACGCUGAGGCGCGAAAGCCAGGGGAGCAAACGGG
rnacentral:rRNA from 1 species